GUGAGGAAUUUUCCGCAAUGGGCGAAAGCCUGACGGAGCAAUGCCGCGUGAAGGAUGAAGGCCUAUGGGUUGUAAACUUCUUUUCUCAGAAAAGAAUUAUGACGGUAUCUGAGGAAUAAGCAUCGGCUAACUCUGUGCCAGCAGCCGCGGUAAGACAGAGGAUGCAAGCGUUAUCCGGAAUGAUUGGGCGUAAAGCGUCUGUAGGUUGUUUAAAAAGUAUUCUGUCAAAGAUUAGGGCUUAACCCUAGAUAGGCAGAAUAAACUUGUAAGAUAGAGUUUGGUAGAGGCAGAGGGAAUUCCCGGUGGAGCGGUGAAAUGCGUAGAUAUCGGGAGGAACACCAAAGGCGAAGGCACUCUGCUGGGCCAAUACUAACACUGAGAGACGAAAGCGAGGGGAGCAAAUGGGAUUAGAAACCCCAGUAGUCC
rnacentral:rRNA from 1 species